rnacentral:rRNA from 1 species
UACGUAGGGUCCGAGCGUUGUCCGGAAUUACUGGGCGUAAAGAGCUCGUAGGUGGUUUGUCGCGUUGUUCGUGAAAACUCACAGCUCAACUGUGGGCGUGCGGGCGAUACGGGCAGACUAGAGUACUGCAGGGGAGACUGGAAUUCCUGGUGUAGCGGUGGAAUGCGCAGAUAUCAGGAGGAACACCGGUGGCGAAGGCGGGUCUCUGGGCCGAAACUGACGCUGGAGGAAGCGAAAGCGUGGGGAGCAAACAGG